AUACGUAGGGUGCGAGCGUUGUCCGGAAUUACUGGGCGUAAAGAGCUCGUAGGUGGUUUGUCGCGUCGUCUGUGAAAUUCCGGGGCUUAACUCCGGGCGUGCAGGCGAUACGGGCAUAACUUGAGUACUGUAGGGGAGACUGGAAUUCCUGGUGUAGCGGUGAAAUGCGCAGAUAUCAGGAGGAACACCGGUGGCGAAGGCGGGUCUCUGGGCAGUAACUGACGCUGAGGAGCGAAAGCAUGGGUAGCGAACAGGAUUAGAUACCCUGGUAGUCCAUGCCGUAAACGGUGGGCGCUAGGUGUAGGGGUCUUCCACGACUUCUGUGCCGUAGCUAACGCAUUAAGCGCCCCGCCUGGGGAGUACAGCCGCAAGGCUAAAACUCAAAUGAAUUGACGGGG
rnacentral:rRNA from 1 species